UGGGGAAUAUUGCGCAAUGGGGGCAACCCUGACGCAGCAAUGCCGCGUGAGUGAGGAAGGCCUUCGGGUUGUAAAGCUCUGUCCUUAGGGAAAAAUGACGGUAAGGUGAACAUCCUUAUCGAGUGAUGGUACCUAAGAAGAAAGCACCGGCUAACUUCGUG
rnacentral:rRNA from 1 species